rnacentral:lncRNA from 1 species
GCAACAGCAGAAUUGCCCAUUCCCAUUGUCACUGACAAGCCGAUGUCUUCCUCUGUUUGAACGGGAUGUCUACAGAAGGCACAGUGUCAACCAACCACUCUAGCCAAAAUAAAUAAAUCUGGGAGCUAAAAGAUUACUUCUGCCUGGACAAGGCUGCCUAGCAAUCAAAAUAACCAGCAGAAAACACCUCUUAAUGGAGAAGAAUGAGACUGGGCUGGCUGCACAUGCCAAGAGGCUGGCUGCAUCCCCUACAAUAUCCAGAACUCUCAUCAAUCCUCUUUCCAUGCCUCAAACGGUAAUCUACACUCCAACCUUCCCUUGUAAACACAUCAGUACCCACUGAAGUGUGGUACCCCAGAAGACUUUCUGUUAAGCUGUCAGCACGAUUCUACCGAUAACACGGUAUGGCAUUUUAGCAUUAUUGGAUACACCCAUUUAUCUUUGAUUAGAGCUCUAUUAAAAGACUCUUGUAAAAAGCAAAAUGUCAAAACCAAGAACAAAAGUGAAUUAAUGCUCCUACCAUACAUUAAAAGCACAUGUCAUCUAAUCCUCACAGUUGUUUUUUGUCCCUGCUUUUAAACAUGCAAUGAGUGCUCUGAGACCAUAAAAUGGCACAUUUUACUUCAAAGGUAAAAGGGAUGAAUUUCCAAAUGUGAUACAAAUCCUGGAUUGGAUUAAUGAGGCUGACGGCUUCACCAAAGAACCAGCCUAUGUCCAUUCUGAUGACAGCUCCUGUGCCUGUGCUCCAAGUUUACAGGGGAAGAAAAACUGCAGAGCAGAGAAGGAGAACUCGUGGCUUUCUCUUCGUUGGCAGAGUUAUGAAUAGGAAAACUACUUCAAUGCAUGUAAAAUAAAACUAGCUUUCAUUAUAAACCAACCAAAUGGUUUAUUUUCAGUAUCAAAUAACAUAGAAAUUAGAUCCCCAAAAAUCCCAUUAGGUCAU